CUAAUGAUGACUGUCUCAUUGCAGGCAUUUCCGUGGUUUUGUCUUCAUGGUCAUGAUCUUCAUUAGGCUGCUGGGUUAUGUGUUUUUCCACCUGCAGUAUAUAAACCCAGACCUUCUUGUGGAUGCCCUGCCCCUGAUGAUGAGUAGGAGCAGUUUGAAGAGGCUAAGGGAUAUCUUAUUUCCCUUCCUCACUCUAGAAGUGGAUGAAGUUCUACCGCACUAAUCUGGGGUGAUCACUGCACCUCACACUGCACCUCACACUGCCCCUAAGAGGAGGAGCUGUGGCUGUGGCCUUGUAUUAGAGGUGUGGGCCGGGAAGGAAGUAGAAGUCUUCGCCCCAGAGCUGCUACUCGAUAUCCAAUCUUUUCUUUUUUUGCUUUCCCUCUGGAGUAUCUCUCUUUCAAAUAAAGAAUAUGUUUGACCAGAGUCCACCAUAUUGGUUUUGUGAGUCCUG
rnacentral:lncRNA from 1 species